CAGUAGCCGCGGUAAUACGAAGGGGGCUAGCGUUGCUCGGAAUGACUGGGCGUAAAGGGCGCGUAGGCGGCGGCCAAAGUCAGGCGUGAAAUUCCCGGGCUCAACCUGGGGGCUGCGUUUGAUACUUGGUUGCUUGAGUGGGGAAGAGGGUCGUGGAAUUCCCAGUGUAGAGGUGAAAUUCAUAGAUAUUGGGAAGAACACCGGUGGCGAAGGCGGCGACCUGGUCCUUUACUGACGCUGAGGCGCGAAAGCGUGGGGAGCAAACAGGAUUAGAUACCCCUGUAGUCCCUGUCUCUUAUAU
rnacentral:rRNA from 1 species